rnacentral:SRP_RNA from 1 species
GAAGAUUGGCUACGGACAGUUUCCUCGCNAAAUCAGUCAGGUCCGAAAGGAAGCAGCUGUAACGAGGCUUUAGCUGGGUCGGCAGUCCAGUCUUCCAC